rnacentral:pre_miRNA from 1 species
GUUUGCAGGAUGGAGAAGCAGGGUACGUGCAUGCAUUACCAUAUUCACAAGGCUGCUAAGCCUGUUCUCUAGUGUUCUUCAUGCAUGUGCCUUUCUUCUCCAUCAUGACAAC